AACAUCUUAAUUAAUUAUUGAGGCCAAAAGAAAAUGGCGGCAAAUGCGUUGAAAUUCUUAGUUACUCCCUAAGCUAACCUAGGGUUUGUCCUUUCUCACCAUCUCCACCACUGCAACAAUGUUCGGAGCUAAGCCCUCCUCCGCCUUCGGUACUCCAUCAUUCGGCACACCUUCGUCAACCCCAGCAUUCGGCACACCUUCAUCAACCCCAGCAUUCGGCACGCCGUCAACUUCAUCAUUUGGCACUGGUUUUGGAUCGACACUAUUUUCAACACCAUUUUCACAGCAGGCACAGCCACAGCCACAUCAACAGCAACAAACUUCCUUCUUUCAAACACCUCAGAGUUUGUCCCCUUUCAGCUUUUCCACACCCUUGAGUACUGCUACACAGGCCCAAUCCAGUCCAUUUGGUACUUCCUUUCCAUUUGCAAAUGCUCAGUUGACUACUCAGAUGGCUCCCGUGGCUCCACUCCCCUUUUCUCUCGCUGAUAGGGAUAUACAAGUAAUUUCUUUACUCUCAAAUCUUUGUGCACAUCACAAUCCUAAGUAUAUCUCUUUAUGUGCACAACAACAAUAUAUUUCAUCAAGCCAUGGCUACCUGACCUGACUGGGUGCGGGUGGGUUUUUUUCUGGGAAGAUGUUUCAUUUGAAAAAAAUAUAUGAAAGGAGAUAAUAGACCCCGGACGGCAGGAGUAUGCAAACCAUUCUUACAGAAACUUUUCUUGUUUUAAGUAUUUUAAUAAUAUAGAAUAUACAUGUGUGUUUUAAUUUAAUUUACGUAUAUGAAUAACACAAAUAUCUGAUGAAGGGAGC
rnacentral:lncRNA from 1 species